ACAAACUUGGUCAUUUAGAGGAAGUAAAAGUCGUAACAAGGUUUCCGUAGGUGAACCUGCGGAAGGAUCAUUAUCGAGUGUAGCCCCCCGAUAAAAAGGGGGGCACCUCCCGUCCUUUGCUGGGUCCCCCUUUUGUGGGGGCUUUCGACUUCUGCUUCGGCGGGGUUACCCGCCGGAACACCCUCAAAAAUCUUUUGUUAAACUGUUCAGUCCGAGGCCUUUUUUAAAUUUACGAAAAACUUUCAACAACGGAUCUCUUGGUUCUGGCAUCGAUGAAGAACGCAGC
rnacentral:misc_RNA from 1 species